UUGAAUGAAGUUUCACGUUCGUCAUAACUACCACAAUAAUUAAAAAUUGAUGCCACGACAUACAUUGGAAUGUGAAAAACAAACAGAGGUCAAAAUCCGAUGACCCAAGGAUAGUGAGUGUGAUGAAGUCAUGAGACAGGAAGCGUUUUAGAGUGAUGAUCACAAAAGAGCUUUGCUGGAAGAGAACAGGUGCCUAUCCAGUUUGAAUCUUGUUUCCAACCAUGACCAGCCAUGCUUCCAGGAAGCCCACAAGCAUAGUAGCUAAAAGAAUAGUCUGCUAUCUAGUUGAAUCUUGUCCUGGAUAUGAAGUCCGUAGGUGGCUUUAAGCAAGCUAGUCAUACUCAACCCCCAUUCUGCAAUAUGGGGCAGUGCAGAAGGUUCUGGUGUCCCUUGCAGCAUGGUUAUAUUUACAACAAAGUAAUGUCUGUGAAGUCCUUGGAACACAGGCAGCACAAUCCUGAGGGCUGCCACAGUGGAGGUGGCUGGCUGCUGUGUGUUACACACACAGGCACAACCUAUCACCAGUCUCUGAUUUGACCACUGUCCCUCAACACCCACCCCUACCCCUCCAUGGAGAGCCAGCAGUCACAGAGGAAAGACCCAUGCAACUUCUAGAAUAAUUCUACAAAAACAGAUGAAAUGACAAUGAAUAGUUAUAAAAGUGGUGUUGUAUUCCAAUUAUUUGCUUCUGAGCUUGACAGUUGCACAUUAUUGUUCCUAUAUGUGGAACACUGUAUUUCUGUCCCAGGGUGCCUUUGAAUCUUUACUUCUUUAUUUAAAAUCAAUGCAAAAAGCUCUGUUUAUGUAUCUGAGCAUAUUUAUUUUAUUUAUUAUAUUUUUUAUUUAUUUAUGUUAUUUAAAUUCCGCCUUUCUCACUGAGACUCAAGGUGGAUUACAUAGUGUGAGAUUAGUACAAUUAGUGUGAGAUUAGUACAAUUAGUACAAUUAGUGUGAGAUUAGUACAAGGGCAGGCAUUUCCAUACAGUGUCAAGAACAUUUCCAUAAACAAUGUCAUAGGGUAAAUGAAUACAGUUUCAAGAACAUUUCCAUAAACAAUGUCAUGGGGUAAAAGAAUAUAAGUUUACAAAGAUAUAGUAUUAGCAAGGAUCUAGUAUGGGGUUGAGGAAUUGCUGAAACAGAACAUAAUCAAUUCUAGGACUUACAUUGAACAACAUAAAGCACAGGUAGGAUAUAGGAGUACAUAUUUAAAGCAACAGAUAAUAUGUAAGGCAACAUAAUGGUGAAAUCUAUGGUUUCUAACUUGGCUUGUGUUCUAAUAUGGCUUGUGUUAGGGGCAAUAAUGUUUAGCAUCGCUGCGUAAACCUGCUUAAAUCCAAAUACUUGAGGUUAACUAGGUUGUAGUUUGGAAAGUACUUCAGUGCUACAGAUGUGUAAAAACAUGAUGGAGUAGAGGCACAUGCCAAUCUGAUCCACACUAAUGUGACAUUGUAGCUAUAUGUUAAUGCAUUAAUUAUAAUGUUCUGUCUAAUAAUACAGGAUGUGUAAUAUUUAUUAUGUUUCUUUUCAAGUUCAGUUGAUAGUAUAUUUUAUUGUACAAUUAGCCAAACAGUGAUGUGACAAGGGACAGAAAUGCUGUGACGUAUCAGUAUCAGUAAAGGAACUGCUUUCAGUCUUUUUAAAGAAUAGGAUCAUUUUUGGAAUAAAAGCUCCAACAUGUUUUAAGAAACUAGACACAACAACAUGAGUUGAAGACAGCAUGUCAUCUUGGCUUUCUGACCUUCCUUUGGGUUUCUUCUUUUGUGAGUUUUAGUCUUAUUGAUGUUACUUUUCCAGAGAUUUCUCUUUUUUCAGAUGGCUUUCAUUAAUGAUAUCAUUAUUCCCCUUGCAAAGUCUAGAGGAGAAAAAUCUAGCAAUUGAAUAUCAUAUCUA